UUGGUCAGUUAAACCAGCUCUAUGACCUCGCCUCUUUUUUUCCCCCCUUUAAACGUGAAUGACUACAGCUGAAGAAAUAUGGUGGUACAGUUAUAUAUCUGCCAGAAUGCUCACUACACAAAGCCUCAGGGCUGAAGUAAACCUAUGCAGGACUACAACAGCAACAAGUACUUGCAAAACAACCCUUCACCGUGCCCUGCUAUGGGAGUCAGACUAAUAUGCUAGCACCAGGAUCAUUCUUCUCUGCCAGAGUACAAAUUUCCCAUAUCAUCUCUUCUGAAGUUCUGCUGUGAGAAUGGAAUAGCUAGAGAGAGACUAUCUGCUAUUUUUAGACUUUUUCAAAAAGAUGUUUACAGUUCAUUGCUUGUAAUUUUCUUAAAGUUUGGAAAUAUAAUUUUUCCCCUUCACCAAGUUUGUCCUUUAUUGUUUAUCAAAUAUUGACU